ensembl:snoRNA SNORA49 small nucleolar RNA, H/ACA box 49
CAUCCUCAGCCUUACUCCAGGGGCUUUUGUUGUAAAGUGCCUUGGCAUUGCCUGAGGAUAGAUGAGAAAGCACAUCUCCCUCCCCAGCAAGACUCUGCUUUCUUGUGGGGCCUACAGACUGUGCUGACAGG